GAUGAACGCUGGCGGCGUGCCUAAUACAUGCAAGUCGAGCGAACAGAUGAGGAGCUUGCUCCUCUGACGUUAGCGGCGGACGGGUGAGUAACACGUGGAUAACCUACCUAUAAGACUGGGAUAACUUCGGGAAACCGGAGCUAAUACCGGAUAAUAUAUUGAACCGCAUGGUUCAAUAGUGAAAGACGGUUUUGCUGUCACUUAUAGAUGGAUCCGCGCCGCAUUAGCUAGUUGGUAAGGUAACGGCUUACCAAGGCAACGAUGCGUAGCCGACCUGAGAGGGUGAUCGGCCACACUGGAACUGAGACACGGUCCAGACUCCUACGGGAGGCAGCAGCAGGGAAUCUUCCGCAAUGGGCGAAAGCCUGACGGAGCAACGCCGCGUGAGUGAUGAAGGUCUUCGGAUCGUAAAACUCUGUUAUUAGGGAAGAACAAAUGCGUAAGUAACUAUGCACGUCUUGACGGUACCUAAUCAGAAAGCCACGGCUAACUACGUG
rnacentral:rRNA from 1 species